UACAGCGGGGGCAAGCGUUGUUCGGAAUUACUGGGCGUAAAGGGCGCGUAGGCGGCCUGUUAAGUCGAACGUGAAAUCCCCGGGCUCAACCCGGGAACUGCGUCCGAUACUGGCAGGCUUGAAUUCGGGAGAGGGAUGCGGAAUUCCAGGUGUAGCGGUGAAAUGCGUAGAUAUCUGGAGGAACACCGGUGGCGAAGGCGGCAUCCUGGACCGAGAGUGACGCUGAGGCGCGAAAGCCAGGGGAGCAAACGGG
rnacentral:rRNA from 1 species